rnacentral:rRNA from 1 species
CAGUAGCCGCGGUAAUACGAAGGGGGCUAGCGUUGUUCGGAAUUACUGGGCGUAAAGCGCACGUAGGCGGAUAUUUAAGUCAGGGGUGAAAUCCCGCAGCUCAACUGCGGAACUGCCUUUGAUACUGGGUAUCUUGAGUAUGGAAGAGGUUAGUGGAAUUGCGAGUGUAGAGGUGAAAUUCGUAGAUAUUCGCAGGAACACCAGUGGCGAAGGCGGCUAACUGGUCCAUAACUGACGCUGAGGUGCGAAAGCGUGGGGAGCAAACAGGAUUAGAUACCCCGGUAGUCCCUGUCUCUUAUAC